GUACGUACCUGGCAAGGGAGAUACCAUGGCCGUGAAGGGGGUUUUCCCAGGGUGAGGCUCAUCCAUUGCAUUCUGGGUGUACUGAUCCCCGUGAUUUCCCCAAAUGCGGGAAACAUGACUACAUAAUCUUCUCAGUGGUCACCCCCUGACUU
rnacentral:snRNA from 1 species